rnacentral:rRNA from 2 species
AUGAUUUGUUGCGAACUAGAUUAGAAGCUUGCUUCUAUGACAGUUAGCGGCGGACGGGUGAGUAACACGUGGGCAACCUGCCUGUAAGACUGGGAUAACUUCGGGAAACCGAAGCUAAUACCGGAUAGGAUCUUCUCCUUCAUGGGAGAUGAUUGAAAGAUGGUUUCGGCUAUCACUUACAGAUGGGCCCGCGGUGCAUUAGCUAGUUGGUGAGGUAACGGCUCACCAAGGCAACGAUGCAUAGCCGACCUGAGAGGGUGAUCGGCCACACUGGGACUGAGACACGGCCCAGACUCCUACGGGAGGCAGCAGUAGGGAAUCUUCCGCAAUGGACGAAAGUCUGACGGAGCAACGCCGCGUGAGUGAUGAAGGCUUUCGGGUCGUAAAACUCUGUUGUUAGGGAAGAACAAGUACGAGAGUAACUGCUUGUACCUUGACGGUACCUAACCAGAAAGCCACGGCUAACUACGUGCCAGCAGCCGCGGUAAUACGUAGGUGGCAAGCGUUAUCCGGAAUUAUUGGGCGUAAAGCGCGCGCAGGCGGUUUCUUAAGUCUGAUGUGAAAGCCCACGGCUCAACCGUGGAGGGUCAUUGGAAACUGGGGAACUUGAGUGCAGAAGAGAAAAGCGGAAUUCCACGUGUAGCGGUGAAAUGCGUAGAGAUGUGGAGGAACACCAGUGGCGAAGGCGGCUUUUUGGUCUGUAACUGACGCUGAGGCGCGAAAGCGUGGGGAGCAAACAGGAUUAGAUACCCUGGUAGUCCACGCCGUAAACGAUGAGUGCUAAGUGUUAGAGGGUUUCCGCCCUUUAGUGCUGCAGCUAACGCAUUAAGCACUCCGCCUGGGGAGUACGGUCGCAAGACUGAAACUCAAAGGAAUUGACGGGGGCCCGCACAAGCGGUGGAGCAUGUGGUUUAAUUCGAACAACGCGAAGAACCUUACAUGUCUUGACAUCCUCUGACACUCUAGAGAUAGAGCGUUCCCUUCGGGGACAGAGUGACAGUGUGCAUGUGUCGUCAGCUCGUGUCAGAAGUGGGUAAAUCCGCAACAGCUCACCUGACUAGUGCCGCAUUAAUUGGCACUCUAGUGACUGCUGCGACAACCGAGGAAGUAGGGAUGACGUCAUCCAUCUGUCU